rnacentral:rRNA from 1 species
AUGGCAACAAUGGGCGUGGGCGGAGCGGUGAAGAUGAUCGUCGGAGCGAAGGAGGAGCGGGUGGUGGCCACGGGCAAGGCGCCCGGCGCGUGCCCGUCCUGCGGCAGCCCCGUGGUGGCGACCGACGUGGAGAGCGAGCGGCGCAUCCUCUGCCUCCCGCUGUGCCUCAAGAACAAGCGCAAGUACUCCUGCACCAGGUGCUUCCGCCGCCUCGUCACCGCCUACAGCUAG